AUUGAACGCUGGCGGCAGGCCUUACACCUGCAAGUCGGACGAGUGGCGGACGGGUGAGUAAUGUAUGGGAAAGUGCAGGGUAGUGGGGGAUAAAUGUGGGAAAGAAGAGCUAAUACCGCAUACUAUGAGAUGGGCCGAGGGUGGAUUAGCUGGUUGGGGGGGUAAAGGCACACCCAGGCGACGAUCAGUAGCUGGUCUGAGAGGAUGACCCGCCACACUGGAACUGAGACACGGCCCAGACUCCUACGGGAGUCAGCAGUGGGGAAUCUUGCACAAUGGGCGCAAGCCUGAUGCAGCCAUGCCGCGUGUCUGAAGAAGGCCUUCGGGUUGUAAAGUACUUUUGUCAGGGAGGCGGUACUUGAAGAAGAAGCACCGGCUAACUACGUGCCAGCAGCCGCGGUAAUUC
rnacentral:rRNA from 1 species